UACAGAGGUCUCAAGCGUUGUUCGGAUUCAUUGGGCGUAAAGGGUGCGUAGGCGGCGCGGUAAGUCGGGUGUGAAAUCUCGGAGCUUAACUCCGAAACUGCAUUCGAUACUGCCGUGCUUGAGGACUUGGAGAGGAGACUGGAAUUUACGGUGUAGCGGUGAAAUGCGUAGAUAUCGUAAGGAAGACCAGUGGCGAAGGCGGGUCUCUGGACAGUUCCUGACACUGAGGCACGAAGGCCAGGGGAGCAAACGGG
rnacentral:rRNA from 1 species